rnacentral:rRNA from 1 species
AACGAACGCUGGCGGCGUGGAUAAGACAUGCAAGUCGAACGGGACUAAAUCUGUAGCAAUACAGGUUUAGUUUAGUGGCGAACGGGUGCGUAACACGUGGGCAAUCUGCCGAGAAGUGGGGGAGUAGCUCGCCGAAAGGACGAUUAAUACCGCAUAUGAUCAGACUAAGACAUCUUAGCGACAUCAAAGACCGGGGCAACCUGGCGCUUCUCGAUGAGCCCGCCGGCCUAUCAGCUAGUUGGUGAGGUGGACGGCCUCACCAAGGCGUAUGACGGGUAGCUGGUCUGAGAGGACGGACCAGUCACACGUGGAACUGAGACACGGUCCAGACACCUACGGGUGGCAGCAGUCGAGUAAUUUUUUCUCAAUGGGGGCC